AUACGGAGGGUGCAAGCGUUACUCGGAAUCACUGGGCGUAAAGCGCGCGCAGGCGGUCUUUUAAGCUGGAUGUGAAAGCCUACGGCUCAACCGUAGAACUGCAUCCAAAACUAUUAGACUAGAGUGUGGGAGAGGAAGAUGGAAUUAGUUGUGUAGGGGUAAAAUCCGUAGAGAUAUCUAGGAAUACCAAAAGCGAAGGCAAUCUUCUGGAACACUACUGACGCUGAGGCGCGAAAGCGUGGGGAGCAAACAGGAUUAGAAACCCUAGUAGUCC
rnacentral:rRNA from 1 species